UACGUAGGGUGCGAGCGUUGUCCGGAAUUAUUGGGCGUAAAGGGCUCGUAGGCGGUUUGUCGCGUCGGGAGUGAAAACUCAGGGCUUAACCCUGAGCCUGCUUCCGAUACGGGCAGACUAGAGUACUGCAGGGGAGACUGGAAUUCCUGGUGUAGCGGUGAAAUGCGCAGAUAUCAGGAGGAACACCGGUGGCGAAGGCGGGUCUCUGGGCAGUAACUGACGCUGAGGAGCGAAAGCGUGGGGAGCGAACAGG
rnacentral:rRNA from 1 species